UACGUAGGGUGCAAGCGUUAAUCGGAAUUACUGGGCGUAAAGCGUGCGCAGGCGGUUUUGUAAGUCUGACGUGAAAGCCCCGGGCUCAACCUGGGAAUUGCGUUGGAGACUGCAAGGCUUGAAUCUGGCAGAGGGGGGUAGAAUUCCUCGUGUAGCAGUGAAAUGCGUAGAGAUGUGGAGGAACACCGAUGGCGAAGGCAGCCCCCUGGGUCAAGAUUGACGCUCAUGCACGAAAGCGUGGGGAGCAAACAGG
rnacentral:rRNA from 1 species